rnacentral:sRNA from 1 species
CAUCUUAAUACUUUUUCAGUGGAUCAUGAAGCAGUUUAUUUAAUAUUAUUUGGAUAACAAGCCUCCACAUGAAUGGGCUUCGAAUGUCAAUUGUCUUGGGGGAAAAAAGAUUUAUUGGUUGGUAAAUAUUGAGAAAGGAAAGCUGAUAAAGACGGGCUUCAGCUGUGGCCUCUGCUGGGAACAGGAGAACAGGCCUGUGUUGUAUUUGGGGGCCCUGGGAAGGCAAAAACUGGUGAAUGUCUGCCUUUGUUGGUGGGUGUAAAAGUGGAGCCCACCACAAAUAAUUUCUUAUUUCUGUUCACAUAGAUUUUAAAUUAUGUAGCUCCCCUACCUUGGUAAGUAUUAAAGCCGUCUUGUUUAAGGAAAAGGCAUUUAAAUAAUGAAGCUUAUGUAGCUUGUUUUCAGACAUCAAUAUCAGGCUUUGAGUGGCACAGAGAGAUAAAGGGAUGUGGAUUCAU